AAAUCGCUGGCCAUCAGUGUCCCUGGAAGUCCCUAAGAAAGCCUUGCAGAAUCUGCAGCUUGUUGGGAAUCUGAAACUGCCAAUAAAAUCAAUAUUGUGCCUGGAGUAGAUGAUAAAUCUGAAGAAAAAGAUUACUCCAUUGAUUCAGAGCUAAACACCGACACUGAACUCUGCUGUUAUAGAGCAUAUCAUACAGAAAGCUUAUCCAAGAGAAGUCCUAUCAUAUUCAUCAACAACGUCGAAAGUAGCCUACUUUAAGAGAAAAUAUGCAGAAGAAGAAGAUCUACAUCAAGAUUCCCAUGGGUAUUUUCCAAAACACCUGAUAUUACCGGAAGACAGGACUUGUAUCCUCAAACUUUCCCUAGAGAAGCUCAGGUUUCUUGAAGACCCAGAAACCUACCUAAGAAGGUCUGUGUUAAUUAACAAUUUGCUGAGGAAGAUACACCUAGAGACGGAGAAAGAGAGCUAUGAAUACUUCAAGGAAGCUCCCUGCUAUAAGACUGCUUAUUCUGAUACGAGAAAACGGCUGAAGUUUAUGGUACAGGAGUGCUGUUCCCAGUCUCUCUACUAUGAAGAGCUGCACUCCUACCACAUUGUGCCUUACACUUCGGAGAGUACCAUCUAUGGGAUGGGCUACACUGGUGACCACUUGGAGCAAAAUUCUCAGUUGCUCAUUUAUAAAAUGAAUUAAAAAGUAACUGUUAAGUUC
ensembl:lincRNA